rnacentral:lncRNA from 1 species
AGCCAUGCCAGGAGGUUGAGGUCCACACCCUUAAUCCUAGCACUUGGGAGGCAGGGCCUUUUGCACUCUUCCUGAGGGGGAAAUGGGUUUCAUAUCAAGAAAGAAAUUGUUACAUCAAACUUCCCAACACCAGCUGCUUGGGAUAGUAUUGACAGUCCAUGAUACUGGUCAGUGCCUGGAAGAGAUCAUGGAGAAUACACUGGAAUCACAUACUCGGGCAAUGUCAGAGUAUUGUGACAGCAAGGGAAAACCACGAGAUCCAGUGGCCCAUCUUCCAGUGUGCUGGUAAAGUGUUCCUUGUGUUGGCCUGAGGUCUGAGGAAAUUUAAAUCCCCCAGGACAUAUCUAAUCCCAGUGUGCCUUUUUGCAAGAUGGGAGAUAGGAGAAGGUUGUGGGGCAGCUAGCCUGGAAUACACAACAGCAAACAACAGAGACCUGUCUUAAGAUAGAAGAUGAAAACCAACAUUCGGUUGUUCAUUGACUUCCACACAUAGACCAACUUGCCCGUGCACACACAGACACAUGAAUAUGGACACGUGCAUCAUAUACUAACUAAAAAGGGAAGGAUGGCUAGAUGGAUCAGGAACUAGGAAUGAGCAUAAGGUUGCAAAGGAAGGCUACUGACAUUUCAGGAAUUACUCUGUAUUUAGUGAGUUGUAAGUAAUUCCCUAGAAAAGAAUUAAUUGUAAGUAAUUGCUUCCUAAAAGGAGCAAUCACCAGAGGAACUGCUCCCUGUCUUUCUAAUAAGCCAUAAAACCUGUAUUCCUUCCUUACUUACAGCUUCUAUAAAACUUAACGCAUAGGCUUAAUUGUACCUGAAGGAAACAAAUGUAUGCAUAGGGCCUUCCUGUGUUCUAUAGAAUUGCCUUGGAGUGAUUUAGAGAAUAGAGUUGCUAUUGUUUCCCUUGUGGGGCUGACAGUAUCUUUGUCUAUCUGUCAUCAGAUCAGAUCCAAGCUGUGAAGACGUGAAGAGAUAGUCCCUGGAGACCUCAGUGAUUUUUCAAUGAAUGGAAUCUGCGUAAGGCAUACUGGUUAAUCUCAAAUUUAUUUUAAAAGAUAUAUGUAACUGAGAAUUUUUUAAACCACAUUCUGCUUGCUUUGGUGGACUCUGGAAGAACGUUUUAAGGGCUUUAGGACUUGAGACAUUGUUAAUCUGGCCAUUACUAUACAAAAUCUAAUAAUUCUUUGGAACUCCUUAGUUACCAACUUCUUGUAAAAGUCUACAUCAUUGUGAUAAGUAGAAUAUAUAAAUACCACUUAUAAGCCAUCUCAAUAUCCUAUCAUGAUUUAUGAUAUAUUUGAUGUAUUUUUAUUUUCAAUUGUUUUCUAAAAGUUUAGUUCAUUGUAUGACUUUGAAGUGCAAAUUGUGUUAGCGAAACACCUUUAAAGAUUUAUAAGGGAUCCCAGGUAAUUAGUAUAUAUGAAAUUUUUAUUGUGUCACUAUCAAUAAAAAAUGAAAUACACC